rnacentral:rRNA from 1 species
AGGAUAAACGCUGGCGGCGUGCCUAACACAUGCAAGUCGAACGUCUCUUCUUUCGGGAAGAGGAGUGGCGGACGGGUGAGGAACACGUGGGAACCUGCCCUUUAGUGAGGAAUACCGGCGAGAAAUCGCCGACAAGACCGCAUAGCCCUCUUUGAUGAGAGUCAAAGAAGGAAAGCUUCGCAAGAGGCGCUAGAGGAGGGGCCUGCGUCCGAUUAGCUAGUUGGUGGGGUAAGAGCCUACCAAGGCGUCGAUCGGUAGCUGGUCUGAGAGGACGAUCAGCCACACUGGGAUUGAGAACGGCCCAGACUCCUACGGGAGGCAGCAGCAAGGAAUUUUCCGCAAUGGGCGAAAGCCUGACGGAGCAACGCCGCGUGUGGGAUGACGCUUUUCGGAGUGUAAACCACUUUUCUUGGGGACGACGAGCGACGGUACCCGAGGAAUAAGGACCGGCUAACUACGUGCCAGCAGCCGC